GUUGAAAGUGUGGGGUGGGGGAGUAACAGGUCUGUCCCUGUUUGUGGAAACCACAGGAGGAGCUGUUCAGGCUGUUGCUGGGUGUGAAUUGUUGAUGGAGUCUUUAAACUUGUAGUUGCUGUUUUCCAGACUGAAGCAGAGUCGUUAGCUGAAAACUGGUUUUAGAGGUUCAUUCAGGACACCUUCUCAGGCUCUUACAGCCUUACCUGUAUCAUAACAAAGUGUAUAAACCCCAAUCCACCUUUAACAUGGUCCUUCUCCCAAACCUUCAAAUAGGACUUUCUGGCCCUGUCAUAGUAAAGGGCUGCUUAGAAUAUUAGAGCCAAUGUCACAAAGUUCCUCCUGAAGUAUAAGUGAGUGAGAGAGUUUCCUCACUUUGCAGCACAACACGUCUCACAAGAUUUCUACAAGCAAUCAGAGUGAAAUUUGUACUUUGUGUUGUCAGAUGAACAUAUGAGACACUUUGACUCUUCAGUGCAGUGUGGAGCCUAACAAAGAUCUGUUUUGUGUCCCAGCUGAUCAGCAGGAGGAGAAGAGUCUGACGGAGCAGCAGAGGAACAUUUUCAGCCAUCUGGACUCAGCUGAGUCACUACAGAGGAAACAAUGAGCUCAACACAGGAGGACCAACAUGGAGCGAGAAGUCAGCGCUCUCAGGAGGCCGACAAACCUCACAGAAGAAAGGAGAGAAAAAACACACCUGUGACGAGUGUGGGAUGGGUUUUACUUUUAAGGCUUCACUAAAACAGCAUCAGGUCAUCCACACUGGAGAGAGACCGUUCAGCUGUGACUUGUGUGGAAAGUCUUUUUCCUUGGGUUCCCUAAAAACACACCAACUCAUCCACAGUGGAGUUAAAGCGUACAGCUGUGAUCAGUGUGGCAGAGCUUUUAAUCGCAGUAACGGCUUACAGAGGCAUCUAGUUACCCACUCUGGAAUUAAGGCAUACAGCUGUGACAUCUGUGGAAAAACUUUCAGCCAGAGUGGAAGCCGAAAUGAACAUCUACGCAUUCACACCAGAGAAGAUGUGUACUGCUGUGGUCAGUGUGGCAAACACUUUGCUAAAGACAUACACUUACAACGCCACAUGUUUACCCACACUGAGGAGAGACCUUGUAAAUGUGACCUGUGUGAAAAGACUUUUAAAACUCCAUAUUACCUGAAACUACACCAACAGAUCCACAACAGAAAGAGACUCUACAAGUGCAGCUACUGUGAGAAGCAGAGCAACACAGAUGGAUCCAGUUCUCAACCCUGUCAUCGCUGUGGUGGUGGGAAAGACUUUCGUUGUGACCUUUGUGGAAAAACUUUCAAUUGGCAAGUCUCCCUAAAAAAACAUCAACGUAAACACACUGGAGACAAACUGAAAUACUGCAAAGAAUGUGGGAGAAGCUUCACCACAUCAGGUGACUUAAAAACACAUGAACUGAUUCACAGUGGGGUGAAAAAGCACCUCUGUGAUCAGUGUGGGUCAUCCUUCACUACUUCAAGUCAGCUUAAAACACACAAACGAGUCCACACAGGAGAGAAACCAUACAAGUGCAGACACUGUGACAAAAGCUUCUCACGAUCAGGUCAUCGUAACAAGCAUGAACGUACACACAUGGAAGGAAACUACAGCUGUGACCAGUGUGACAAGAGCUUCAGGAAUCUCAGUUCAUACUCCAAACACAAACAAUCCCACGUUACUAAUAAACUGUUUCACUGUUACCAAUGUGCCAAAACAUUCACUUCAUUAUCUGCUCUGUGCAAACAUCAGCGUGAUCACUCAGGGCUGAAAUCACUCCCAUCACAGUGAAUCUGAAGAGACAGAAAGAUCCUCUUCUGGUUUCAGUGUCAGACUUUAAACUCUUGAGAUCAGGCUCCACAGAGUUCAGGUGAAAUCUCCUGUAAAAAUCUGAUGAGGCAACUGUGAAUGAAAAUGUUCCAGUAGUUACAUUUUAACCCCCAGGGGUCGACGGACGUGUCGGCGUGUCAAAAUCACAUGCCCAGUUUAAGAUGCAACAACAAAGGUGCAGCGACCCAGAGUCUCUAUUUCAACUUAGGUUGAAAGUGUGGACUCAAACUUUAUACCAGUUUUUAAAAUGAUAGGCCACGUAAAAACAGAGUGAUGAUUUUUUUUAAAAAAUGCAAACGUUUGGGUUUUUCCUGAAUAAAACAGUGUUAUUUACAGCGGGAAGGAAUGGUAUGAACUUUUAGUUUGUUUGUUUUUUUUGUAACAUGUAUAUACUGGACUGGACAUACUCACAGAUAUACUACGCAAUCAUAUUUACUCGUAUACAACACACACACACACACACUCACUCUGAAGUGUUUAUAUGAUGGAAUCACUGUGAAAAGCAUCUAACCUACAUGUUUAAAAUCACAAGACCAACAUAUUUAGGUCAAAUAUUAUCUACAAUUAUAUUAAUGGUGUUUGCACGACUUAUUGUAUGAACACAUGUUGAUCAAUAACAUGAGAUAAUUGGGAUCAAUGAGUAACCUUUGAUUGUGCUAUGGCCAACAAUGAUAAGUGCAAACAUGGAACUAAUUCAACUUUUUCUUUCUCUCUGUUCAUCUGUAUUGCCUCAUGUUGUGUUCAGUGUUUCCAAAGCCUAUUUGGUAAAGAAACCUGGCCUGCGGGGGAUGCAUCUGGGAUUGUUUUUCUUGCCUCAGCUGCCAGAAAGCGAGAAAACCAUUUUCUUAUCAUAGAUAGUAGUCUACUUCUGGCACACACACUUAAAAAAUGGUCAAAAUGAUUAACUGUCAAAUGCCGUUUUGCAGACUCACUUUGGCCAUAAAACUGACAAAGGGACAGAAUUAAAAAUAAUGGAUUCUCGGACUGGCACUCAGAAAGUUAUGAAAUAGUGCCAUAAAGUUAGUGGAAAAAAGACAGUUAUGGAACAUAAGUGUAAGAUUAAAAGAAGCAAAGCACAAGUAUGAUUAACAACUGAUGGAAAAUAUUGAUGAGCAUAUCACAUUGAUAAUUGGGUUUAUAGGACAUUUUUGAAUUUGAAACUUUACUUAUGAGGUAAAAACUUCAUAUCGACCUUGAGAGAACAAAGGAUGAAAGGGUACCCAACGGCAGGAGGAGGUUGAUAUUCCCCAGGUUGCUAUUUUUUGUGUCGGUCAUGUUGUGGUUCUCUGCUGUUUGUGCUUAAAUGCAUUUCACCACAGGGUUUGCUUUGCUUGCUGCCAUGUAAAUGUCUCGCUAUACUCUGUAUGUAUUUUCUUGCUGUUCAUAUGAUUCUGUGUAUUAAACUCAGUUCCAAGAAUUCUAAA